UAGGGAAUCUUCCGCAAUGGACGAAAGUCUGACGGAGCAACGCCGCGUGAGUGAAGAAGGAUUUCGGUUCGUAAAACUCUGUUGUUAGGGAAGAAAAAAUGUAUAGUAACUAUAUACAAAAGAGACGGUACCUAACCAGAAAGCCACGGCUAACUACGUGUCAGCAGCCGCGGUAAUACGUAGGUGGCAAGCGUUGUCCGGAAUUAUUGGGCGUAAAGCGCGCGCAGGUGGUUUAGAAAGUCUGAUGUGAAAGCCCACGGCUCAACCGUGGAGGGUCAUUGGAAACUAAUAAACUUGAGUGCAGGAGAGAAAAGUGGAAUUCCUAGUGUAGCGGUGAAAUGCGUAGAGAUUAGGAGGAACACCGGUGGCGAAAGCGGCUUUUUGGCCUGCAACUGACACUGAGGCGCGAAAGCGUGGGGAGCAAACAGG
rnacentral:rRNA from 1 species